AUACGGAGGGUGCAAGCGUUGUCCGGAUUUAUUGGGUUUAAAGGGUGUGUAGGCGGUGUAUUAAGUCAGUGGUGAAAGCCUGCGGCUCAACCGUAGAACUGCCAUUGAUACUGACACACUUGAGUAUGGACGAGGUAGGCGGAAUUUAUGGUGUAGCGGUGAAAUGCAUAGAUACCAUAAAGAACACCGAUAGCGAAGGCAGCUUACUAGGCCAUAACUGACGCUGCGGCACGAAAGCGUGGGGAGCGAACAGGAUUAGAUACCCUUGUAGUCC
rnacentral:rRNA from 1 species